UCCCUCUUAGCUCAGUGGUAGAGCGCGUCACUAGUAGCAGCUGCCUAUGAAAUGACGAGGUCAGUCGUUCAAGUCGGCUAGAGGGAA